rnacentral:rRNA from 1 species
GACGAACGCUGGCGGCGUGCUUAACACAUGCAAGUCGAACGAUGAAGCCGGAGCUUGCUCCGGUGGAUUAGUGGCGAACGGGUGAGUAACACGUGAGCAAUCUGCCCUUGACUCUGGGAUAACUGCGGGAAACUGUAGCUAAUACCGGAUACGACACCUUGGGGCAUCCCAGGGUGUGGAAAGAAUUUCGGUCAAGGAUGAGCUCGCGGCCUAUCAGCUAGUUGGUGAGGUAAUGGCUCACCAAGGCGACGACGGGUAGCCGGCCUGGGAGGGUGACCGGCCAGACUGGAACUGAGACACGGUCCAGACUCCUACGGGAGGCAGCAGUGGGGAAUAUUGCACAAUGGGCGAAAGCCUGAUGCAGCAACGCCGCGUGAGGGAUGAAGGCCUUCGGGUUGUAAACCUCUUUUAGCAGGGAAGAAGCGAAAGUGACGGUACCUGCAGAAAAAGCACCGGCUAACUACGUGCCAGCAGCCGCCGUAA